CAGGUACCGACCUGCACAGUAUGAGCAGGGGGGAACAGGGACCCCCAGCAUGCAGGAACAGCCUGCCCGACCUGAAGGCUCCUGCGCCCUGUCCUGACGGCAAGAGGCGAUGGGGGAGAGAACGCUGCGAGCGCCACCAAACUGCACUGGGAGGUUUCAAGAAAGCCACGGGCAAGGCAGAGGUGAGAGAGGUGCCCAAGGGACAGCUAAAAAGCAAGCCUGUCCCUGGCAGGACACCGGCCCAGCCCACCGCUCUCGAGGGACCAGGCACCUCCCCAGAGAAACUCCUGUGCAGAAGCCCUCUUCGCACGCUAAAUCCCUUGGCAACAUCCCAUCGACGCGAUAGCUGAGGCAUGCAACCCCAGCCCUGCUUAUCUGCGGCUUACGCAGGCCUCAGUCAAGUCCAGGAGCCCGGAGCAGCAUGCAAGGACCCGAGAGGUUCAGCCUCACCCACCCACCCCGACACCACCUCCUCGCACAGCAGAAGGAGCUCGGGCUCCCUGCAUCCCGCUGCAGCUGCACAGCCCCAGCACGUGCACACAGCUCGGCCUCUGCAGAGGGCAGGUAACUGAUACCAAAAUAAGGGACACCUGCGGGGAGGCUCUGAGAACGGCUCAGAAAGCUGGGGGAUCGUCAGGAGGGCAAAAAAAUCACCCCCAGGUGCUGAGCCUUGCUCAAGGGUGUGCCUUGCUACAGCAAGG
rnacentral:lncRNA from 1 species